ensembl:lncRNA
GCCCCUAAACGCUCCUGUGCUGCCCCUGGCAACCAGCAACCUGUCCUCCCACCUCUUUCAGAGCACCACGGAAGCGGGGUCAGCCAGCAGCAUCUGAGUCUGGACCCUUCCUUUCGGCCCAGCGCCCUUUUGGUCUGUCUGUGCCGCUGCCAGAGCCGGCGCAGGCUCCUCUUCUGGGUUCCUCCUAGCCCUGGGUCUGGAGGGGACACUGGUCUUGCGCUCCCCGGAAGGGCCGAGAGCAGCGGAAGAAGGAAAAGAUGGACCCAAGCGGCUCUCAAACUAGAUGAUCCAACCCUGAGUAAUUGGGAAUCAACUGUGUGGGCCAAAAUAAAUCUAAAAAAAUCUUAUUAUGUUCUGUCUUUCUUUGUUUGUUCUGGGAAUUGAACCAGGGCCUUUGCACUGAGUUACAU